GACAACUUUGAACGGUUUGAAGAACCCUGGGGAUGCAUACUUUUUUUUCUCUUAUGCCCCUCCCAUUCACAAAUUUUCAAGUGAUAUGAUACAGUUAAAUUCUGUAAUUCAGUGACUCGAAAUGAUGUUUGCAUGGUUAGCAGUAAAUAUCUCUAUUCUGCUUAUUUAUGUAUUUAUUUACUUGACUGGACUGGAACAAAUAUGGGUAACUGAUUUGAGUAUUUGUUAAUGCAAAUACUAAAGCCAUUAGCCAUAUAAUUGUAACAAUAUUUUAAAGUAUUAUAAUGGUUUUAAGAUUUCUUUUUGCCUGGUGUAUGUGGCUUUUUAUAUGAUCAUUUAUGAGGAUAAAUGAUUAUCUUUAUAAUGAUAAUUUAAAAUUAAGUACUUUGUCAUUUCUACUCCUUGUUCUCAUUUCCAGAGGGCGUUAAUUUGUGAUCCACUCACCAGGUUGAACUAUUACAAGAAAAAGGUUUUACUUGCAGGAUGUUUGACUUUUUAAAAAACACCAUACUUGUGUCUUUAGGUAGUAUCUAUCUAAAAAAAAAAAAGGUGCAAAGAAUGCGAUCUCAUAAUGUAGAUAUUUGGGCUAGAGGACCAGUAAUUCUUAAAGCCUUUUGAAAAUAUGAUUCUUUAUAAAUGCUGUGGUCCUUCUUUAUAGAAAGUGUUUAUGAAGCACACACAAAGAAAUUUUAGAUACAAAGUAGUGCCUGUUCGCGAUCUUCUUGAAGGAAGAUUCAGUAACUCUGAUCUUGAUAAUUGAGGUAACGUUAAACAAAAUGCCAUCUUUUUCCCUCUUUCGUAUAUAGACAUUGAAACCAGAUGGAUCAAUAGACUGUUUUUCUAAAUACAUCAUUUUGUUUUUAUUGUGUAAACCUUUCCUUACAAAUAAGUCCUUAGACUGAUUUGUAACAUGGAAGUAAGUGGACAUCUGGCUUCUCUGAAAAAUAUGAUUCACUCAUUUGCAUUUUUAAAUUCCAUUCAUUCCAUUUUUAAAUUUUUCACUUGUCCUCUUUGCUCUUUCUAAAAGCAACUCUUCUCAACUCUUUUCAAUUUCAAAUACCUAAAGAAUUUAUGCUUCUUAUAAUUCGCAACAUUAUUCCUUUAAAAUUUUUAAAUGAAAAUAAAUAUUCAAGAUCCACAACAUGAGGAAAACCUUGAUAUGUAGAAGGAAUAAGUGGAAAUCAGAAGAAACAUUAAAGACAUUCCAGUGUCACUGAGCAUGCAGAAACUUGAAAAAAUGGAGUAUGAGGUGGGAGGAUCACUUGAGCCCAGAAG